rnacentral:rRNA from 1 species
AUUGAACGCUGGCGGCAUGCUUUACACAUGCAAGUCGAACGGUAACAGGCCGCAAGGUGCUGACGAGUGGCGAACGGGUGAGUAAUGCAUCGGAACGUGCCCAGUCGUGGGGGAUAACGCAGCGAAAGCUGUGCUAAUACCGCAUACGAUCUAUGGAUGAAAGUGGGGGACCGUAAGGCCUCGCGCGAUUGGAGCGGCCGAUGUCAGAUUAGGUAGUUGGUGGGGUAAAGGCUCACCAAGCCAACGAUCUGUAGCUGGUCUGAGAGGACGACCAGCCACACUGGGACUGGGACACGGCCCAGACUCCUACGGGAGGCAGCAGUGGGGAAUUUUGGACAAUGGGCGCAAGCCUGAUCCAGCAAUGCCGCGUGCAGGAAGAAGGCCUUCGGGUUGUAAACUGCUUUUGUACGGAACGAAAAGGUUUGGGUUAAUACCCUGGGCCGAUGACGGUACCGUAAGAAUAAGCACCGGCUAACUACGUGCCAGCAGCCGCGGUAAAAC